CUUUCCUCCUUUUCCUUCCUACUUUUCACGCUUUAUUCCUUCCCCUUCCACUUCUAAACAAUUCCAUCCUAAAACUACCAGAUUAGACAAAGAAAAGCAAGCCUCUGCACAGGGGUUUGGAGCAAGGUGUUGACCAAAAUUUGGAUGUCAGAACUCAAGCAGGGAGAAGAGGCUAGAGUGCAGUGGUGCGAUCUCGGCUCACUACAACUCCUACCUCCUGAGUUCAAGCGAUUCUCCUGCCUCAGCCUCCCGAGUAGCCAGGACUACAGUGUCGAGGUCAUGAAAGCCACUGAAAGACUGAGAACUGUUCCAGAAAGGAGACUAGAGAGACAUGGCAGCCAAAUGCUCCACAUAAUCCUGUCCUGGAUUCUUCUCCUACAAAGGAAGGGGUCUGAGGAUUAGGUGGUAGUACUGAAUCAAGGAACUAUCAUCUCCUAUUGUGCUGUAGGCAAACUUGAGUGACAUGGUGGAAGCCACCAGAGAGAAUAUCUGAAGCAAUUCAUUAAAAUCUUGGCAGCCAGACCCCAGCUCCCACUUUCCCUGAAAGCUCCCUUUAAUGAAGCUGAACGCUGUCCCAGCAAUUCCCUCCACAGAAGACCUACUGUCACCACCUCUGGAGGGGCAAUUCCUGGAGGAACCAAGUCAGCCAAUCGAAGGUCCUGAAUAAGCAAAAACUAAGUAAAUAAAUUACCAUCUCGAAAGUGAUGGGUUAGUGUGCUC
rnacentral:lncRNA from 1 species